rnacentral:tRNA from 1 species
AGGUGUGGCUCAGUUUGGUAGAGCGCCACGUUCGGGACGUGGAGGCCGUGGGUUCGAAUCCCGUCACCU